UACGUAGGGUGCGAGCGUUGUCCGGAAUUACUGGGCGUAAAGAGUUCGUAGGUGGUUUGUCGCGUUGUCCGUGAAAACUCACAACUCAAUUGUGGGCGUGCGGGCGAUACGGGCAGACUGGAGUACUGCAGGGGAGACUGGAAUUCCUGGUGUAGCGGUGGAAUGCGCAGAUAUCAGGAGGAACACCGGUGGCGAAGGCGGGUCUCUGGGCAGUAACUGACGCUGAGGAGCGAAAGUGUGGGGAGCGAACAGG
rnacentral:rRNA from 1 species